AAUCCAUGCAUUGGACACUUGCGUAAUAAGUCCUUAAGUCUUUCCCAUGCCUCGUACAAGCUUUCAUCUUCCAACUAAUUGAAUGAAGUGAGGUCAUUUCGAAGUUU